rnacentral:lncRNA from 1 species
CUUUUUUUUUUUUUUUAACUAAUAGAAUGAAGUAGUUUUUCAUUUGGUUAAACCACCUCAAGUUCCUCUUCUGUAACUCCUUGAAUUCAGCUCAACUCCUUGAAUGUCUGAUACUAUUCAGAAGUAACCAAAAAGUAUUUGAGGACUUCUUGCUCAUCAUAAAUAAUGAUUAACUUAGAAUGUACUUCUCCUGUCUCUUAAAAUCACCAAUAUAAAAGACUACUUUGUAAAAAUAUAUAUAUUAUAAAAAUACAAGAGUAAUAAGUUCACAGCAGCACAGGAUAAACAGGAAAGAUACCAUCAGAAGAGCAUGAGGACUUCUGGGCCAAAGGGAGGGGAAAUGCCAUCAGGACUGACUGAAUGACAGCAAUACUAAGACGUAAAGGAAACUGCAACUUGAACCAAGCAAAAGAAGGAAACUCUAAAACUGUGAAUAUAACCAUAGAACCCCUAGGGGAGAACAAACUCAAAUUCAGACAUAAGGGAAGCUGGAUGUAGAAGCAGAAGUGAGCCCAGGACUGUCAGGAGAAUAAUUAGAGGCCUAUGGAACAGCUGCAUCCUCCAGUGUUCUCAGAAAGGCUAAGCUGUGAGAACAGCUCUCUAUAAUAAAGUGGAGGAUCAGCUGUGGGGGAACCACCCACAUAGGUGCUGGGACUACAGAACGAAGAAACAGCACCACACAUGACAAAGCACACACCCGCCUAGAAGGCAGCUGACUGAAUCCCUGGAGGUAUAUCCCUGGUAGCAGGACCAGCACUCCUGUACUCUGAAUUUACUUCCGGAAGAAUAAUUCCCACUUGUGCUGAGAAAACCCACUACAGUUACCACUCUGAUCACACAAUCAAAAAGUUCUCAAUCCUGGACGCACAUCACAAUCAUCUGCUAAGCUUUUUAGAAAUAUCAAUUGCCUGGGCCCCACCACGAUCCAAUUGAAUCAGUAUUUACAGAGGGAAGAGAGGCCCAGGCAUUUGUAUUUAAAUAUUCUUCAGAUAAUUUAAUGUGCCAUUAAGUAAUAACAAAUAAAAAUAGCCAAGGAAGCAGAAAAUAAUUGUAGUAUUCUCUGAAAGAUCUAUUAAGAUAUCAUUUCAAAGAUCUAUGGAGAUACUAAGGGAGAGGAAUAAUACUAAAAAGUUAUUACUGGGGAAUAAAAAACAAAGCUACUUUUUGUUUUGUUUUUGUUUUUUUAAGUAGAGAUGGGGUUUUACCAUGUUGGCCAGGCUGGUCUCAAACUCCUGACCUCAAGUGAUCCAACCACCUCAGCCUCCCAAAGGGCUGGGAUUAUAGGCAUGAGCCACUGCACCGGGCCAAAAAAGUUUUUUCAUCCUUCAACAGAGGUCUGAAUAGCAAAAGGGGCAUAACCAAAGACAAAAGCAGUGAUUUACAAGAUCAAACUGACGAAUUCUCCCAAACCAAGAAACAGGAAAUGAGAGGGGAAAGGAGGAUAAAUCUAGAUGAUCCAAUAUAUGUCUAACCUUUGUUUUAAAGGAGAGGAUAGAGGAAAAGAAAUUACCAAAGAAAUAGGACCAAAUAGAUCUGAGUUAAAGAGAUCCGAGCAUUUGGUUGAAAGGGUCUGCCAAGUUUACAUGGCGUAUAACGAUAUUGAAAAAAACUACCUAAAUAUAGCUUGGUGAAAUUUUUAAAUUACAAAAUAAAACUGAAAUCUAGGAACAUGCUACAGGUAGGAAGCAUGCUAACUGUAACAAAAGGAAAAUUGUAUUUGCACCAGACUUCUCAUCUGUAAUUUCAGAUGCUAAAACACAAAUGAAACAAUUUCUACGAAGUUUAAAAGGAAAACUAACUUUAAGCAUAGACUCUCAUAUUACCUAAAACUGUUACUUAAGUAUGAAGGCAAAAUAAAGUUACCUGGGGAUAUACAACUGCUCUAUGAAGUUCACCACUGUGUUCUUUGGGGGAAAGUAGGAAGAGACUCAAAGGUGUACUGUAGCAAAUUAAAUUUGAAUCCAAGAAAUAAAAGAUUUGGAAUACAAGAAGCAGAGCUGAACAACAACAAAAAAAGGCUUAAAACUCUACUCCACAAUUAUCGAUAAAAUAGACACUAGGUGAAGUGCAACUGCUAAUAAGAAUUAUUGAAACAAAAAAGAUAAUGUCGAAAAUUAAUGAGAAACUUUGAAAAAUAGCUGGGAGUAGGAAAGAGUAGUAGACAAAAAAUCUUUUCUUAUUUGUGGAAGAACCAAAGACGGUAAUUAAAUUUUGAUGCUUACAGAGAAAGUUCAGUUCAAAUAAAAGGAUGACUUCCUCCAGGAACUGGAAGGAUGAUGGUGAAUGGAGGUGAGUGCAACAUGAGGUUAAUUAGUCCACAGCCACGUCACAUAUCACCUUGCAAACAGUGACGGGUGUUUAAACAUUUUAUCCUAAGAGAAAUGGUAAGCCAUUUAAAAGUUUUAAGCAGGGGAGUAACAUAACUGACUUACGUUUCCAAAAAGAUCACUUUGGCUGAAAGUAGAGUAGAUGGGAGUGAGUAGCAGCUGAGAGAGAAGGCAGAAGGCUAUUGCAGAAGUCCUGGGCUAUGAUGACAGUGGCCCACGUUAGGGUGCUGGCAGUGAAGAUGGGUUCCCUAAUGUGUUACAGGUAGAAUCGAUAGUCCUUCUGGUGGAUUGGGCGUGAGGGACAGAGUUGUUAAGGAUGACUCCC